AGUGAACGCUGGCGGUAGGCCUAACACAUGCAAGUCGAACGGCAGCACAGUAAGAGCUUGCUCUUACGGGUGGCGAGUGGCGGACGGGUGAGGAAUACAUCGGAAUCUACUUUUUCGUGGGGGAUAACGUAGGGAAACUUACGCUAAUACCGCAUACGACCUACGGGUGAAAGCAGGGGAUCUUCGGACCUUGCGCGAUUGAAUGAGCCGAUGUCGGAUUAGCUAGUUGGCGGGGUAAAGGCCCACCAAGGCGACGAUCCGUAGCUGGUCUGAGGGGAUGAUCAGCCACACUAGAACUGAGACACGGUCCAGACUCCUACGGGAGGCAGCAGUGGGGAAUAUUGGACAAUGGGCGCAAGCCUGCUCCAGCCAUACCGCGUGGGUGAAGAAGGCCUUCGGGUUGUAAAGCCCUUUUGUUGGGAAAGAAAAGCAGCAGGUUAAUACCCCGCUGUUCUGACGGUACCCAAAGAAUAAGCACCGGCUAACUUCGUG
rnacentral:rRNA from 1 species